UACGGCUCAGUAACACGUGGCUAAUCUGCCCUUAGGACGAGAACAACCCCGGGAAACUGGGGCUAACUCUCGAUAGGCGAAGAACUCUGGAAUGAGUCUUUACCUAAAUAGUGCAACGUUAUCCUCGUUGCAUCGCCUAAGGAUGAGGCCGCGACCGAUCAGGUUGUUGGUGAGGUAAUGGCUCACCAAGCCUUUUACCGGUGCGGGCCGUGAGAGCGGGAGCCCGGAGAUGGGCACUGAGACAAGGGCCCAGGCCCUACGGGGCGCAGCAGUCGCGAAAACUUUGCAAUAAGCGAAAGCUUGACAGGGCUAUCCCGAGUGCCAUCCGCUGAGGAAGGCUUUUACCCAGUCUAGAACGCUGGGGGAAUAAGGAGAGGGCAAGUCUGGUGUCAGCCGCCGCGGUAAUACCAGCUCUCCGAGUGGUGUGGAUGUUUAUUGGGCCUAAAGCAUCCGUAGCUGGCUAGGUCAGUCCCUUGUUAAAUCCACCGAAUUAAUCGUUGGAUUGCGGGGGAUACUGCUUGGCUAGGGGACGAGAGAGGCAGACGGUAUUUUCGGGGUAGGGGUGAAAUCCUAUAAUCCCGGGAAGACCACCAGUGGCGAAGGCUGUCUGCUAGAACGCGCCCGACGGUGAGGGAUGAAAGCUGGGGGAGCGAACCGGAUUAGAUACCCGGGUAGUCCCAGCUGUAAACGAUGCAGACUAUGUGUUUGGACGGCCACGUGCCGUUCUAGUGCCGCAGGAAAGCUGUUAAGUCUGCCGCCUGGGGAGUACGAUCGCAAGAUUGAAACUUAAAGGAAUUGGCGGGGGAGCACCACAAGGGUGAAGCUUGCGGUUUAAUUGGAGUCAACGCCGGAAUCUCCACCGGGAGCGACAGCAGUAUGAAGGCCAGAUUAAAGGUCUUGCCAGACGAGCUGAGAGGAGUGCAUGGUCGUCGGCAGUCGUGCCGUGAGGUGUCCUGUAGUCAGGCACGAUCGAAGAACCCGCGUCCCUCUGUUGCAACAGCUUUGGAGCUGGG
rnacentral:rRNA from 1 species